UCCUGAUGGCUCGGAUGGUAAAGAAUCUGCCUGCAAUGCAGGAGGCCCAGGUUCGACCCCUGGGUCGGGAA
rnacentral:tRNA from 1 species